AGAGUUUGAUCAUGGCUCAGGAUGAACGCUAGCUACAGGCUUAACACAUGCAAGUCGAGGGGCAGCAUGUUGGUUGCUUGCAACCAAUGAUGGCGACCGGCGCACGGGUGAGUAACGCGUAUCCAACCUACCCUUGUCCAUCGGAUAACCCGUCGAAAGGCGGCCUAACACGAUAUGCGGUUCUCAGCAGGCAUCUAACGAGAACGAAAUGUGAAGGAGAAGGAUGGGGAUGCGUCUGAUUAGCUUGUUGGCGGGGUAACGGCCACCAAGGCGACGAUCAGUAGGGGUUCUGAGNGGAAGGUCCCCCACAUUGGAACUGAGACACGGUCCAAACUCCUUCGGGAGGCA
rnacentral:rRNA from 1 species